rnacentral:rRNA from 1 species
ACGGGAGGCAGCAGUGGGGAAUAUUGCACAAUGGGGGAAACCCUGAUGCAGCGACGCCGCGUGAGUGAUGAAGUAUUUCGGUAUGUAAAGCUCUAUCAGCAGGGAAGAUAAUGACGGUACCUGACUAAGAAGCACCGGCUAAAUACGUGCCAGCAGCCGCGGUAAUACGUAUGGUGCAAGCGUUAUCCGGAUUUACUGGGUGUAAAGGGUGCGUAGGUGGCAAGGCAAGUCUGAAGUGAAAGCUCGGGGCUCAACCCCGGAACUGCUUUGGAAACUGUUUAGCUAGAGUACAGGAGAGGUAAGUGGAAUUCCUAGUGUAGCGGUGAAAUGCUUAGAUAUUAGGAGGAACACCAGUGGCGAAGGCGACUUACUGGACUGCUACUGACACUGAGGCACGAAAGCGUGGGGAGCAAACAGGAUUAGAUACCCUGGUA